UACGUAGGGCGCAAGCGUUGUCCGGAAUUAUUGUGCGUAAAGAGCUCGUAGGCGGUUUGUCGCGUCUGCUGUGAAAACGCGGGGCUUAACCCCGCGCCUGCAGUGGGUACGGGCAGACUAGAGUGCGGUAGGGGAGACUGGAAUUCCUGGUGUAGCGGUGGAAUGCGCAGAUAUCAGGAGGAACACCGGUGGCGAAGGCGGGUCUCUGGGCCGUUACUGACGCUGAGGAGCGAAAGCAUGGGGAGCGAACAGG
rnacentral:rRNA from 1 species